AAGUCGUAACAAGGUUUCCGUAGGUGAACCUGCGGAAGGAUCAUUAUCACGUAUCCACGUAUAAACCAUUGUGAACUGUAACUCUUUUUUUAAAAAAAGAAGCAGGAUUUUGCGUUAAUUCGCUCUAUUCUCUUUUUUUUUUAAUAAUUAACUAUUUAAACCUUUAAUUAACAAUUGAACUGAUUUUAUUUCUUACUCUUCGGAGAAGAAAUUUUAUUACGAAACAAAGAACAACUCUUAGCAACGGAUAUCUUGGUUCUC
rnacentral:misc_RNA from 1 species